UCUGAAUAUCUUUUAAAAAAACAUUUCAAUUUUGGCUGGCCAAUGAACUCACAAGUAUAGGUAGUGUGCUACAUGAGCGGCAAGACUUUUGCUAAAACCACAAGGGUCUCUGGCCCAGUGAAUGGAGUCUGAUAGUAAUUCUUGCUACAAGA
ensembl:snoRNA SNORA62 Small nucleolar RNA SNORA62/SNORA6 family